AUUGUUUUAAUAAGCUAGAGAAAAGUAAUUUCACUUGUUAUUGUUGAUUCAGAUUUUAGAUUAUGGGAGAUGAUCCACAAAAGCCUACAUGGUCGGAACAAUGGGACGUCGGAGCAGAGGGUUUAUUUCUUUCAAAA